rnacentral:rRNA from 1 species
ACUUAUAGAUGGAUCCGCGCUGCAUUAGCUAGUUGGUAAGGUAACGGCUUACCAAGGCAACGAUGCAUAGCCGACCUGAGAGGGUGAUCGGCCACACUGGAACUGAGACACGGUCCAGACUCCUACGGGAGGCAGCAGUAGGGAAUCUUCCGCAAUGGGCGAAAGCCUGACGGAGCAACGCCGCGUGAGUGAUGAAGGUCUUCGGAUCGUAAAACUCUGUUAUUAGGGAAGAACAUAUGUGUAAGUAACUGUGCACAUCUUGACGGUACCUAAUCAGAAAGCCACGGCUAACUACGUGCCAGCAGCCGCGGUAAUACGUAGGUGGCAAGCGUUAUCCGGAAUUAUUGGGCGUAAAGCGCGCGUAGGCGGUUUUUUAAGUCUGAUGUGAAAGCCCACGGCUCAACCGUGGAGGGUCAUUGGAAACUGGAAAACUUGAGUGCAGAAGAGGAAAGUGGAAUUCCAUGUGUAGCGGUGAAAUGCGCAGAGAUAUGGAGGAACACCAGUGGCGAAGGCGACUUUCUGGUCUGUAACUGACGCUGAUGUGCGAAAGCGUGGGGAUCAAACAGGAUUAGAUACCCUGGUAGUCCACGCCGUAAACGAUGAGUGCUAAGUGUUAGGGGGUUUCCGCCCCUUAGUGCUGCAGCUAACGCAUUAAGCACUCCGCCUGGGGAGUACGACCGCAAGGUUGAAACUCAAAGGAAUUGACGGGGACCCGCACAAGCGGUGGAGCAUGUGGUUUAAU